rnacentral:misc_RNA from 1 species
GUGGCGCCACGCACUAAGGAAAUAGCAUUUCGAUCUAUAGGCUGUUCGAUAGGAACUGCUUGCGAUUCUCGAAAGCGUUAGUGGCGUUGGUACAAUUUAGUCAGCACAACUUUAGGUUAGCUCGAAAUGAAGUUAAAUCGUAAAGUGCACGUUAAGAUGGCGUUACAAAGUGAUCAUUUGUUUUCUUUAACCUUUCGCAUAAACCUUUUAGGUACCUCAGUAUGUGUAAAAAUCCAGAGAUACAGUAUAUUAAUCAGCUGUAUAGGAGAAAAAGAUACAUUGAAGGUCAUUUCGAUAUCGUGAAAGAUUAAACAGAAUCCUAUAAAACCUCAAUGGCGAAAGUAAACGAAGUAAUAGAGUACAUAUUUUGAUAUUUAUAAAUUGGGGAAUACAUUAAAAACUGAUGAUAAUUAAUCAUAGGAAAAA